rnacentral:rRNA from 1 species
UACGUAGGGGGCAAGCGUUGUCCGGAUUUAUUGGGCGUAAAGAGCGUGUAGGCGGCCACACAGGUCAGCUGUGAAAACUCGAGGCUCAACCUCGAGACGUCGGUUGAAACCGUAUGGCUAGAGUCCGGAAGAGGAGAGUGGAAUUCCCGGUGUAGCGGUGAAAUGCGCAGAUAUCGGGAAGAACACCCGUGGCGAAGGCGGCUCUCUGGGACGGUACUGACGCUGAGACGCGAAAGCGUGGGGAGCGAACGAGGAUUAUGAAACCCUUG